rnacentral:rRNA from 1 species
CGUGCAGCCGGGAAUGCAAGUCAGAUGUGAAAUCCAUGGGCUUAACCCAUGAACUGCAUUUGAAACUGUAUUUCUUGAGUACUGGAGAGGCAAUCGGAAUUCCUAGUGUAGCGGUGAAAUGCGUAGAUAUUAGGAGGAACACCAGUGGCGAAGGCGGAUUGCUGGACAGCAACUGACGGUGAGGCGCAAAAGUGUGGGAGCAAACA